ensembl:lncRNA
GCCGGUGCUAGUCCUUGAUGGAGGUGUUAGUGCCGGGGAUAGUCCUUGAUGGAGGUGUUAGUGCCGGGGCUAGUCCUUGAUGGAGGUGGUGGUGCCGGGGAUAGUCCUUGAUGGAGGUGUUAGUGCCGGGGCUAGUCCUUGAUGGAGGUGUUAGUGCCGGGGCUAGUCCUUGAUGGAGGUGUUAGUGCCGGGGCUAGUCCUUGAUGGAGGUGGUGGUGCCGGGGCUAGUCCUUGAUGGAGGUGUUAGUGCCGGGGCUAGUCCUUGAUGGAGUUGGUGGUGCCGGUGCUAGUCCUUGAUGGAGGUGGUGGUGCUGGGGCUAGUCAUUGAUGGAGGUGCCGGUGCUAGUCCUUGAUGGAGG